rnacentral:sRNA from 1 species
CGCUUCGCUCGUGUGUAGCGGCAUCCUUUUCCUUUUUUCUUUAAAAAGGAAAAGAUAUAGCGAAAAGCGGGAACCAUA